rnacentral:lncRNA from 1 species
AAAACAAUUUGUCCUUUAGCGUUUUUAGGCCUUAACGUCAAAACGUAAACUUUCGGGUCAAAGUACAAAUACAUAAAAGUAUCAAAACUUUAUGUAAUUGCAUAAAAGCCCCAAAAAUACCCUAUUUUAUUAGGGUGGCCGGUUUUUAGGGAUAAAAAAAAAAAUUGGUGGGUGUUUUGAUUUAUUAGUUUUGUCAAAAACAAUCAAGUAGUGCUUUCACCUUUCAUAAAAAUAAUAUAUGUUUUGAUGAUUGAUGUUUCCAUCAUCAUUUAUACAAAUAUUUAACAUUUUAAAUACUUUCAUAAAAUUAAUAUAUGUUUUGAUGAUUGAUGUUUCCAUCAUCAUUUAUACAAAUAUUUAACACUUUAAAUACAUAAUAAAUCAUUUGAAAAACAUAUAUCAUAAACUUUAUGAAAUAAAUCAAAACUUUGAAUCAAAACACAAAC